UACGUAGGGGUCGAGCGUUGUCCGGAGUUACUGGGCGUAAAGCGUGCGCAGGCGGCUCAUUGCGCCCGGCGUGAAAGCCCCCGGCCUAACCGGGGAGGGUCGUCGGGUACGGGUGAGCUUGAGGGUAUCAGGGGUUGGUGGAAUUCCCGGUGUAGUGGUGAAAUGCGUAGAGAUCGGGAGGAACACCCGUGGCGAAGGCGGCCAACUGGGAUACACCUGACGCUGAGGCACGAAGGCGUGGGGAGCGAACGGG
rnacentral:rRNA from 1 species